rnacentral:rRNA from 1 species
UUACGGUCAAAUCACGCUGAAACACCGGUUCUCGUACGAUCACCGAAGUUAAGCAGCGUAGAGCCAGGUCAGUACUUAGAUGGGGGACGCUUGGGAACACCUGGUACUGUAAG